UGGGGUGUCGCCAAGCGGUAAGGCACCGGUCUCUGACACCGGUAUCCUAGGUUCGAAUCCUAGCUCCCCAGCCA
rnacentral:tRNA from 1 species